rnacentral:rRNA from 1 species
CCUCGGGACGCUCCAGUCGCGAAAACUUUACAAUGCGCGAAAGCGUGAUAAGGGGAGCCAGAGUGCUUACUUUUUGUAGGCUUUUGUCAAGUGUAAGUAGCUUGACGAAUAAGUGGUGGGUAAGACCGGUGCCAGCAGCCGCGGUAACCCCGGCGCCACGAGUGGGAAUCAUUAUUAUUGGGCCUAAAGCGUUCGUAGCCGACUGAUUAAAUCUUUUGUGAAAUUGUUGAACUUAAUUUAACAGUGUGCAAAAGAGACUGAUUGGUUUGAGACCAGGAAGAGGCAGAAGUAUUCUAGGGGGAGCGGUAAAAUGUGAUAAUCCUUAGAAGACUACCUAUGGCGAAGGCAUCUGUCUAGCAUGGGUCUGACGGUGAGGAUCGAAGGCUAGGGGAGCGAUCUGGAUUAGAUACCCCCGUAGUC